rnacentral:rRNA from 1 species
AAAGGGUGCGUAGGCGGGAUCUUAAGUCAGGGGUGAAAUCCCGAGGCUCAACCUCGGAACUGCCUUUGAUACUGGGGUCCUUGAGUCCGGAAGAGGUGAGUGGAACUGCGAGUGUAGAGGUGAAAUUCGUAGAUAUUCGCAAGAACACCGGUGGCGAAGGCGGCUCACUGGUCCGGAACUGACGCUGAGGCACGACAGCGUGGGGAGCAAACAGGAUUAGAUACCCCAGU